UUUGUAGCUCUGUGUCUCUGCUUUUAUCCAAUGUAAAAAACAAAUUUCAAAUUUUGCUACCUAAGACCAAAUCAAGGUGGUUGGUCACAUUUCUUUCAGGGUUUGGUACAAACAGUGGCAAGUCAAAUUCAAGGACUUAAGUACUUUUUCAAACACUUACAUUUAUUUUCAAGGACCAUCAAUUUGUAAUAGUUCCUAUUAUGCAAGUGUUUCUAGUCGCCACCAUAUAUCGCCACAACCUCAUGAGGGAAAAAAACAAAUUAACUAUUCAUCACUAUCUUACAAGUUCUACUCAAUAAUAGACGUUUGACUACAUACAUGGAGUGGUAAGUCAGUACUGAUGAUGUUGACUGAUUUCCUUAUAUGUACUGUAAUUCAGUAAUUUUUUUGAAAUUGUAACAUUCAUAUUUGUUCAGUGUACAUGAUAAUAAUCUUAAAAUUAAAUGUAAAAUGUCUUUAUAUUUCACAAAAUGUUAGGUCCCACAGGCUGUCCCAACACAAAAGGAUCCUAAGUUUGGAACCCACUGUACUACUAACGGCUCUCCGUGCUUGCUUUAAUUCUUUUUCUCUCGGUGUAUCUCCUUUGCCUCGUUCAUUGCAUCCUGACUCACCACUGUCACUACUCACUGUAAAGAAAAGGCAUUUUGUUAUGAGAACUUAUAGUAGCCCAUAUUUUGAUUAUAGCUACCUUAAUUUCAGUCAACUGCUCCUGCUGAGGUCAAGCUCUGUUCAACAUUAGCUUCCAACUUCAUCCUUCUAGCCAACUAGUUAUAGCUAGCAACCUGGCCAACAGCCAGAGCACUUGAGCUACCUAGCUAGCUAGACAUCUGACUGAAAUAUCAGCGACUAUUUACCAGUUGUACAUUCAUUUUUCGAGUGUCAGUUUUUUCCUGUUUGGGGGAUGUCUGCUGACACAGCAGGAGUCAAGGGAUGCUAAAAAAAAUCCCACUGUCAGCAGCGUCUCCCACUUGCCAGUGUAGGUCUGGGCUGAUGUAGUUCAUUUCAACUCACAGCCUGUCGUGGGUGGAGUCUCGUUGGACAGAGUGGUGAAUGAAUGCACUGCAAACAAGGCAAAUACAAGGGAGCAGGUGAACAUAAUGAGCAUACAUGAAACGUUCAUGAUUCCACUCAUUCGCAGAUGUAUGUGCGAUUAGAACUCAGAUCAAGAAGCCUUCUGACUGUUGAACAACGCUGGGAACGCAAUAAGUGUGUAAACGAUAUUUAACAAAAAAAAAGCGAGUAAACUAUUUCACAAAAAGUUUCGACCCGAUGAUUCGUCUGACAAAGAACUUUGCGUCCUGCAGGCCCAGGCAUGGAUCAAAGCUGGUGAGACAUUCAAUGACGUCAUCUUCACAGACGAAUCAACCAUGGCCCUUGAGCAAUUUGCUCAAAAUUGUUACAGAAAAAAAGGAAGAUAAAGCAAGCCGAGUCCCAAGCAUCCGCUCAAACUCCAUGUGUGGGGGGCAAUUUCUCACCAGGGACCAGGCCCAUAUUUGACUUUUGAUGGAAUCAUGGCUAGAGAUUUCUUUGAGGAAGAAAUCAUCAAGAAAUAUGCUGGACCCUAUGCCAGAGAGGUGUUUCUGGCACCACAUCGUUUCUUUCAAGGCAAAAUUUCUUUUUUUCUUCUCCAAAAGCAGACAAUGACCGAAAACACACUGCCGCCCGGUUUGCAUUGCCGCCCGGAUUGCAUUGCAAAUGAGGGCAUAAACUGGGUCAAGACGCCAGCAGAGUCUCCUGAUUUAAACCUGAUCAAACUUGUUUGGCAUCAACUGAAAACAUUCAUCCGUAACUGCCAAGCCUACAAGCAAAGAUGAACUGGUCAAGUAGGGGGAUGUUCCCACCUACAAUAGCCAGGCUAUAAAGAGUCUAUUGUCCUGCUAAUACUGUAGGGCUCUCCACCUGCUACAGUACACUUGUGAAAAACAAAUGUUUAUAAACCUGUUUUCAAAAUGCCACCAGCUGUCCAUCACUACUGUAAAUAAAA